CCUACGGGUGGCUGCAGUGGGGAAUAUUGGACAAUGGGGGCAACCCUGAUCCAGCCAUGCCGCGUGUGUGAAGAAGGCCCUCGGGUUGUAAAGCACUUUCAGUGAGGAAGAACGCCUGGUGGUUAAUACCCAUCAGGAAAGACAUCACUCACAGAAGAAGCACCGGCUAACUCCGUGCCAGCAGCCGCGGUAAUACGGAGGGUGCGAGCGUUAAUCGGAAUUACUGGGCGUAAAGCGCGCGUAGGUGGCUUGAUAAGCCGGUUGUGAAAGCCCCGGGCUCAACCUGGGAACGGCAUCCGGAACUGUCAAGCUAGAGUGCAGGAGAGGAAGGUAGAAUUCCCGGUGUAGCGGGGAAAUGCGUAGAGAUCGGGAGGAAUACCAGUGGCGAAGGCGGCCUUCUGGACUGACACUGACACUGAGGUGCGAAAGCGUGGGUAGCAAACAGGAUUAGAUACCCUGGUAGUC
rnacentral:rRNA from 1 species